rnacentral:rRNA from 1 species
CCCUUAGAUGUUCUGGGCCGCACGCGCGCUACACUGACGAAUGCAACGAGCUUAUAACCUUGGCCGAAAGGUCUGGGUAAUCUCCAAAUUUCGUCGUGAUGGGGAUAGAUUAUUGCAAUUAUUAAUCUUCAACGAGGAAUGCCUAGUAAGCGCAAGUCAUCAGCUUGCGUUGAUUACGUCCCUGCCCUUUGUACACAUCGCCCGUCGCUCCUACCGAUUGAAUGGUCCGGUGAAGCGUUCGGACCGUGGCCUUUGGACGGUUCGCCGUCUGUUGGCUGCGGGAAGUUCGUUAAACCUUAUCAUUUAGAGGAAGGAGAAGUCGUAACA